rnacentral:rRNA from 1 species
GUCUACGGCCAUACCACCCUGAAUGCGCUGGAUCUCAUUUGAUCUCGGAAGCUAAGCAGGGUCAGGCCUGGUUAGUACUUGGAUGGGAGAACUCCUGGGAAUACUGGGUGCUGUUGGCU